UACGUAGGGGGCAAGCGUUGUCCGGAUUUAUUGGGCGUAAAGAGCGUGUAGGCGGCCAUACAGGUCAGCUGUGAAAACUCGAGGCUCAACCUCGAGACGUCGGUUGAAACCGUAUGGCUAGAGUCCGGAAGAGGAGAGUGGAAUUCCCAGUGUAGCGGUGAAAUGCGCAGAUAUCGGGAAGAACACCCGUGGCGAAGGCGGCUCUCUGGGACGGUACUGACGCUGAGACGCGAAAGCGUGGGGAGCAAACAGG
rnacentral:rRNA from 1 species